rnacentral:rRNA from 11 species
GAUGGCAGACACACUGCGGAUGCUAACGUCCGUAGUGGAGAGGGAAACAACCCUGACCUACAGCUAAGGCCCCCAAUUCAUGGCUAAGUGGGAAAGCAGGUGAGACGACCAAAACAACCAGGAGGUUGGCUUAGAAGCAGCCAUCCUUUAAAGAUAGCGUAACAGCUCACUGGUCUAAACAAGUUGUCCUGCGGCGAAGAUGUAACGGGGCUCAAGCCAUGAGCCGAAGCCGAGGAGUGCGUAUGCACUGGUAGCAGAGCGUAGUGUGACAUAGUUCCACUCCUCUUCAGCACCUUUCGAGGUGCUUUGGAGGAUAGGAGCUUUCGAUGAAGCGGGCGCGUGAGCGAUCCCGUGGAGAGAUCACUAGUGAGAAUGAUGACAUGAGUAGCGACAAAGAGUGUGAGAGACACUCUCGCCGAAAGUCCAAGGGUUCCUGCUUAAAGCUAAUCUGAGCAGGGUAAGCCGGCCCCUAAGGCGAGGCAGAAAUGCGUAGCCGAUGGGAACCACGUUAAUAUUCGUGGGCCAGGAGGAUGUGACGGAUCAAGAGGGUAGUUCAUUCUUAUCGGAUUGAAUGGGCUGCUUAUUGGUCCCUGGAAAUAGCCCUCCAUCAGACCGUACCCUAAACCGACACAGGUGGACUGGUAGAGAAUACCAAGGCGCUUGAGAGAACGAUGUUGAAGGAACUCGGCAAAAUACCUCCGUAAGUUCGCGAGAAGGAGGCCCGGUUCCUAGGCAACUAGGGGCUGGGGGCACAAACCAGGGGGUGGCGACUGUUUACUAAAAACACAGGGCUCUGCGAAGUCGCAAGACGACGUAUAGGGUCUGACGCCUGCCCGGUGCCUGAAGGUUAAAAGGAGAGGUGAGAGCCUUGAAUUGAAGCCCAGGUAAACGGCGGCCGUAACAAUAACGGUCCUAAGGUAGCGAAAUUCC